GGGGCUGGAGCCAUGGCUCAGCUGUUAAGAGUGUGUUGGUCUUGGAGAGGACCCAAGUUCAGUUCUCAGCAUCCAUGUGGGUAGCUCAUAACCACGUGCUUGUAACUCCAUUCCAGGGGAUCUGAUGCCCUCUUCUGGUCUCUACAGGUUCCUGCACUCAUACACACACACACACACACACACACACACACACACACACACACACACACACACACACACACAUUUUUUUUUUGAGCCUGGUGUGGUGGUGACCUUUAGUAACCAGCAGUCAGGGGACAGAGGGAGGCAGACCUCUGAGUUUGAGGACCUUCAGGGCUACACAGAGAAACUUGGUCUCAAAAACAACUAUAACAACUAUGAAUAAGUAAAUCUUUUUGUGAAAUCUUCAAAACAAAAACAGGGUCUGGAGAGAUGGCUCAGUGGUGACGAGCAGGGCCUGCUUAGCCUGCACAGGAUCCAGAUCAGCUGGGGCUACUGAAUGAAAUCCUGUCUCCAAAACAGGCAUAUGCCUGGCAAGCACACACUUAAUUACCAUAGAGGGAGGUGGAUCUCUGUGUCUUCAAGGCCAGCCUGGUCUACACAGCUAGUGCCAAGCUGGACAGGACUACACAGUAAGUGUUUGUCUAAAGCAAACAAACUCUGUGAUGACCACGGACCCGCACAACUGCCACACUGACAAACACCACAGAGAUUCACCAAGUGCUGGGUGCUGGGUGCUGGGUGCGUAUUCUGCACACGCUCAUCCACUUUACUCAUUCUUUUCGAGACGACUCAUUGUACGUGCAUCGGUGCUCUGCCUGCAUAUAUAUCUGUGAGUGUGCCAGGUCUCUUAGACUGGAGUUACCGACGGUGGUGAACAGUCAUGUGAGUGCUGGGAAUUGAACGCAGGUCCUCUGGAAGAACAGCCAGUGCUCUUAACUGCUGAGCCUCCUCUCCAGCCCCAUUUAAUUCACUCUUGACCUCUUUCUGUCUGUCUUUCUGCCCCCCCUACCCCCCUUCUCUCUCUCUCUCUCUCUCUCUCUCUCUCUCUCUCUCUGUGUGUGUGUGUGCGUGUGUGUGUGUGUGUGUGUGUGUAUAACCCAGGACCUCAAGCAUUCUUAAGCAACACUCUGUCGCUGAGUGACAGUCCCAGCUCCUGGGUUUCUGAAAGUCUUACUGUAGCUCAGGGUAGCCUUUAGUUUGGAAUCCUCCUGCCUCCACUUCCCGAGUGCUGAGAUUUUAAACCACAUCACCACCAGACUCAUUCAUUUAAUUCUUACAACAGCAUCCCGAGACAGACAUUAUCACAGCCCCGUUUUAUGAGUGGGAGAACUUUAGAGAGAGGUCAAAAAGCCAGCAGGUAAACAGCCUGGUGGGCUUCCGCCUUCCAGGCCUCACUCCUUCCUUCAAGCAGAAGACUCCUCCCACUGAGGGCCCAAGGAAGCUCAGAGACCUGCAGGGAAAUGCCUACUGCUGCUAGGGGAAGAAUCUUUGAUGAGGAUGGACUGUGAGCUCCUGUGUCUUCUGUGUGACAGGUGAGGAGACAGCUCAGACAUACUGCUCUAUGCCUGAGGCUUCACAGCAAACAAAGCCAGAGGUUGAGCUUGUCAAGUCUCCAGGUGAUUUCCCCUCUAUCCUGCUGACAGAUGCCAGUCCCUCUGUCCUUACUUGGCUACAAAGAGAGCUAUCCUGCCCACUCUCUCUUGCUCUAUUUCUCUGUCCCUCCUCCCACUUCUCUCUAGGGUCUCACUGUGUGGCCCAGAGUAGCCUGGGACUUGCAGCAAUGCUCCUGCUUCACCCUCUCAAGUGUUGGGAUUCACAUAUGAGCCCAGAUCCAGUAUGGAGUUCCUCACACUUAAUCUCACGAUCAUGAGGUAAAUGCUCUUAUUCCUAUUCAACAGAUGAAAAACCAAGGCACAGAAAGAUUACAUAACUUGUCUAAGGGUGGCCAUCCAAUAAGGUGUUGGUGGAUGUCAGGGCAUUGCUUGUCACUGUCCACCAACUGGUGAACACCUGGAAGGAUUCCAUUAAUAAAAGCUUUUGAUUCCUUGCCUUGAGGCAAUCCAAUCUUCAGACUUCCAUCUGGCUUCCUUACAGUCAAAGUUUUCCACAUCAGCAACAAGAGUGUCUGGUAUAUGUGUGUGUGGUGUGUGUGUGUGUGUGUGUGUGUGUGUGUGUGUGUGUGUGUGCAUGUGUGUGUGUGGUGUGUGUGCAUGUGUGGUGUGUGUGUGUGUGUGUGUGUGUGUGUGUGUGUGUGUGGUGUUGAGGACUGAACGGAGGGUAUCAAAUAUACACAUCUUUACACACACUACCAUACACUGUCCUCAGGGUUCGAGCACUACAUCAUUUGAUCUAGAGCCAUCAGACACUCUCUUGCAUCCCUCAGGAUUCUGUCCUCCAUCUGCCUCCUUAGCUUGGGCCUCUCUCCCCACUCCCCCAGUCUCUCAUGGUCCAGUCUAGCCUGUCACUUUUCCUUUUCUUCUAGCUGCCCUCAGGUAAUUCCAAAAUCAAAACCCACUAGGAGACAUCCAAAUGGGCUUACGUGAAGCUCCAGAGGAACUGGAAAGUCACCUAGGAAUAGCAACCACAGAGCAUGGCUGUGCACCAGGCCCUUUCUUGGAUAUCUUAGGCUGGAAGGUAUAGCCCCACGGUCAACUCGGCAGCCUGGAGGCCCCUGAGCCAUUUGACCUGUACCACACACAUACUUGCUUGAUGACCUUGGGCCAGGCUCUUCCCAUCCCUGAACCUCAGUUUCCCCAUCUGUCAGGUAGAGUAACAAUCCCUUGGGAUUCUGGCCUACCCCAAUUCAUCAGAACACAGUGACCAGUGGCCACUACCACAUAGCGGACUGGAACCUCAACCUCCUUGGGCUCGUGUCAUUCUUCAACUGUCUCAGCACCCUCCCUGCCCAAAAUCAUUCUCCUCAGGCCUUCACAGUCCGUCCAAAGAGCAGCCUGCCCUGCAGCCCCUAGCUUAGCCUCCAGCUCUGCUGGCCAGCCUCCUGGAGUCUGGCCCCUGGCCGCUCCCAUGCUCCAGUUCCCCUAAGCACUGUGUGGCCUGUGUCACACAACCCAAUUCUGUGACCUGGUGGAGGGAUCCUUCUCUCCUCUCCCACCUUUGGGGUCACCGAAACUGAGGCUCUGGCCCAGGGGAACUCAGAAACACACACACACACACACACACACACACACACACACACACACACACACACACUCUCUCUCCCCCUCUGAGCAGUGCCCCUCUCCCCACGGAGGAACACACCAGUGCGCGUGCGCGCGGACACACACACACACACACACACACACACACACGCACGCACGCACCCCACCACCACCACCAAUAUCACCACACACUUCAUUCACUGCCAGGUGCUGGCUGGCAUCUAGUCCCAACCUGUGUCCUCCAUAGCAUCCCAAAUCUGGGUCCUACUGGACCCGGCCUGGGCAGUAACCACCCCCUCCAUCCGCCUAAUUUGACAAACCUGCUCUAGGGAUGAUGGUGUCCCCCAAUCCUCUCUUGACAUUCACUUUCUCCCAUCCCCAGGUUAGACUCUAGGGUCCUCCCGGGCAUUUGGGCUGCCCAGGCCCCUGAGACCUCUCCUGCCCCCUUGUGUCUUAAUGGCCUCCAACUCCUUCCAGCCACUGUCCUCCAAUUGCAGGUUCACUGGAGAUAUUAGGUGCCAGGAGAUGGUAAGGCUCCUGGCUUCCAACCUCUAGUCUCAUCAUUUGCCCCCCAUGUCCCAGAACCUCCCGUACUCCAUCCCCCAAGCGCUCCCCAAAUACAGGGUCCCGCCUCCCCACCUCUCCCACCCCUUAGCUCACACUCCGCAGCUCCUGAGUCCGAUCCUUCAUCCUGCGACGGGCUCCUCCUCCCCUUCUUCGUCCUCCCGCCUCCGCUGCUGCUCUCUGCCUCUUGCCUCUGUGCUGGAGGCCGGGGUCUGGGGGCACCCGGCUAGACCUCCGAGGGAUGUGCGGGUAAGGUGCGCGGCGGGGGGGCGGGGAGCUGAGGCCAGGCAGAGACAGGGGCCUGGGCCGACUGGGCUCUGCCUAGGCUGCGGUGGCGAUGCGGCUGCGGCACAGGGUUGGAU